GAUGAACGCUGGCGGCGUGCCUAAUACAUGCAAGUCGAGCGAACGGACGAGAAGCUUGCUUCUCUGAUGUUAGCGGCGGACGGGUGAGUAACACGUGGAUAACCUACCUAUAAGACUGGGAUAACUUCGGGAAACCGGAGCUAAUACCGGAUAAUAUUUUGAACCGCAUGGUUCAAAAGUGAAAGACGGUCUUGCUGUCACUUAUAGAUGGAUCCGCGCUGCAUUAGCUAGUUGGUAAGGUAACGGCCCACCAAGGCAACGAUGCAUAGCCGACCUGAGAGGGUGAUCGGCCACACUGGAACUGAGACACGGUCCAGACUCCUACGGGAGGCAGCAGUAGGGAAUCUUCCGCAAUGGGCGAAAGCCUGACGGAGCAACGCCGCGUGAGUGAUGAAGGUCUUCGGAUCGUAAAACUCUGUUAUUAGGGAAGAACAUAUGUGUAAGUAACUGUGCACAUCUUGACGGUACCUAAUCAGAAAGCCACGGCUAACUACGUG
rnacentral:rRNA from 1 species